CCUACGGGGGGCAGCAGUGGGGAAUAUUGCACAAUGGGGGAAACCCUGAUGCAGCAACGCCGCGUGGGUGAAGGAGCGUUUCGGCGCGUAAAGCCCUGUCAGCGGGGAAGAAGAAAGACGGUACCCGACCAAGAAGCCCCGGCUAACUACGUGCCAGCAGCCGCGGUAAUACGUAGGGGGCGAGCGUUAUCCGGAAUUACUGGGCGUAAAGGGAGCGUAGGCGGACUUUUAAGUGAGAUGUGAAAUACUCGGGCUCAACUUGAGUGCUGCAUUUCAAACUGGAAGUCUAGAGUGCAGGAGAGGAGAAUGGAAUUCCUAGUGUAGCGGUGAAAUGCGUAGAGAUUAGGAAGAACACCAGUGGCGAAGGCGAUUCUCUGGACUGUAACUGACGCUGAGGCUCGAAAGCGUGGGGAGCAAACAGGAUUAGAUACCCGAGUAGUC
rnacentral:rRNA from 1 species